UCGGACAGAGAAAAACGGGACAGCUAAAUGCUCAACCUAAUACACUUCCGAUGGUUCAGAUAUUCUCGGUCCAUGGAACAUCAUCGAACUAUAGCCACAAUGAAAUCCUUUCUCAAUGACGUGUAGAAGCAGAAGCCAAAUCUACAUACUUUAUUCAUGGACCUCAAGAUUUACUUCAACAGCACAAGAAAUUUACUCACCCUGAGUUAAGACAUGAUGUGACUUCGAGUUUACAUCUAGGUGUAAUUAGCUUCAG